GACGUAGGGCGCGAGCGUUGUCCGGAUUUAUUGGGCGUAAAGAGCUCGUAGGCGGCUUGUCGCGUCGAAUGUGAAAACUCGGGGCUCAACUCCGAGCUUGCAUUCGAUACGGGCAGGCUAGAGUUCGGUAGGGGAGACUGGAAUUCCUGGUGUAGCGGUGAAAUGCGCAGAUAUCAGGAGGAACACCGGUGGCGAAGGCGGAUCUCUGGGCCAUUACCUGACGCUGAGGUACGAAAGCGUGGGGGAGCAAACAGGGA
rnacentral:rRNA from 1 species